rnacentral:lncRNA from 1 species
GGGAUGAGCUUAUAUCUCGUAGCCUGGUUCCCUCUGUCACUUGGUCUCUUGGUCUUUCUCUCUCUCUCUCUCUCUCUCUCUCUCUCUCAGAACUAAAUUAAUGAAGAGUAUUUGGUUAGUCAUGUUAGGCAAGCUGUUCCCAAAAUAGCGCCUUCCAUUUUGGUAGCUUCAACUUUGCAGCUGCUGUGUCUCUUCGUCGUCUGGGAAGAAAACUUUCACAUUAAGAGUUGCUGAUGCGGAUUUUCUUUCUUUCCUCUCCCGGCGGCGUUGAUGAGUGCUUGGCUCCUGACAGACGCGAUUCGGCUCCCAGCUUUGUAGUUCGGAAGAAGUUGGGUCUAUAGAUUUCCCCCUAACUCUCCAUCGAUGUGUUGAGCUUCAGAGGGAAUAACUCUACGUAAAGCAUGUUGGCGUCUCAAGGAGUUCUCCUGCAUCCCUAUGGCGUGCCUAUGAUUGUACCGGCAGCUCCUUACCUCCCUGGACUGAUUCAGACUAGUAAGUCACAACCUAGAGAAGUCAAGACAGUCCACCCAAGACAUCGAGCAACACAAUAAUCAGCGCAAGAUGGUGUUUCUCGGAUUCAUGAUCCAUGCAGCCAUACUACGUCUCU